rnacentral:rRNA from 1 species
UACGAAGGGGGCUAGCGUUGCUCGGAAUCACUGGGCGUAAAGGGUGCGUAGGCGGGUCUUUAAGUCAGGGGUGAAAUCCUGGAGCUCAACUCCAGAACUGCCUUUGAUACUGAGGAUCUUGAGUACGGGAGAGGUGAGUGGAACUGCGAGUGUAGAGGUGAAAUUCGUAGAUAUUCGCAAGAACACCAGUGGCGAAGGCGGCUCACUGGCCCGUAACUGACGCUGAGGCCCGAAAGCGUGGGGAGCAAACAGG